UGGGAUGUAGCUCAGUGGUAAAGCGCUUGCCUAGCAAGCUCAACGUCCUGGGUUCGAUCCCCAGUACCAA
rnacentral:tRNA from 1 species